GACGGUGGUUCGCCGCAGAGCGACUGCGGCUGUUCCACCCCCACCGUGAACCGGAUCGCCAGGUUUGGCCGGCCGACCGCCCCGCCCAGGCUGUAACCGUCAAUGCCCGCCGCCGCGCAGCCAGACGUUUGUAAGAUAAAACAGACAGAAAAAAGAGACCAACUAUGUGAACAUAUAAAAAUAAAUGAAGGAAAAAUAGGCCUUCAUAAAGACACUUUGACAGAUUCACCUGUUCCAAGCCCCAAGAAGAAAAGAUUGUGUGCUGAAGUGCAGGGUAAUCCUAUCAGAAGAGAUGUUAAUAGAGCUUCAUAUUCACAGAACAGGAUUUCACAAAUUGUUCCAAAGAGAAUCCCUUAGUCAGAAGUUAUCGGGCAAGAGAGUCUGAAACAAAUCCAAACUGUCUCAUUAAGGCCACUUAAUAGUACAGUAUCAUUGUUAAAGAUGAAGAUGAAGAUCUGUUAACAGGUUCUCUCUUGCCAAGGCCCCUCCAGAUCAGAAGCCUGGUCCUAGAGAUUACCCAAGACCGAGUCUUAAUACCAAGGCUAUCGUAGGUGACCCUACUUACUUGCUGGGGCAGCACACUUCUCUAAGGACCUUCAAACCUGUAUGGGAACAAUAACUGACUCUACAGGCCAGCUAAAUCCAUUUCAAGUCUUCCAAGAUGAAUCCACUCCAUAUCUUCCUUAAGCAGUCAUUUACCUUCCAUUUCAAGUGGCCCCACUGCAGGAUCAAUCAGAUGCAGCCACUUGCCUCUGCAGUGCAGUCAGAAAUAGCAUGGGUUCAAGUCUCUCCUCUCCAACAUACUACUAGCUAAUGGCCAGGCCAUUAAGACCAAAGUUGAUGAAUUAAGAGUGAGACUGAUCCAUCAAAGAGAACUGAGGGACUCCUGUGUGCCGCGUCCCACCGAAAGGUGGCUUACAUUUGCUUCAGCUGCCUGUGCCAUACAACCUGAUGACUUCUUAGUUCACCAGAUGCACUGCACGGCAUCCUUUUGCAAAGUUAAAGGUGGAAGGAUCUGCUUACUGAUCAACACUUCUGAUGCUUGGACUUGAAGGAGUUGUUGAGUUCCUUCUCACCCAGCUUGCAAUAUCAAAAAGUGAAGUGUCAGCUAUACCAGCUGCCACAGGAGUUCAUUUCAGCUACCCAGACAAUAGUCUACAUUUCACCCCAACCCUGUGCUCUGUCAACUACUUGGUUUAAAGCUUUGAAAUGGGAUACCCUGAGAUCCUCUUCAUCAUUGCUGGUGACUUCAUCUAGGCUAACUAGUGUGCAACUAUACUAUUACCUGUCUCACCCCUGACCAAUGCUGCACAAUCCUCAAAUACAUGUACUCAGCACCCCCACCCCUCGGUAAAUCAAAAACCAGACUGAACAUCUUGCAUACAAACAGAAGAUGUAUCCUUACUGAAGUCUGAGACUGCAGCAUAAAAAUCAGGUAACCCUGACCUUUACAAGUUAUUAGGUUACGACCUCCAUAAUGUUAGCAGAGAUGUCAAGUGACAGUACAUCAGUUACAUUCAGGGUGGCACACCAACACACGAGUGAGCAAAUAUAUAACCCGAGCAUCUCACCAUAAUUCUACUGAACACGCACGGCGUGAACGUGUUUAAAAACAAGAACACCAAGUAAUGCUGGCCAACAGGAAUGCUGGGGCGAGCUGUCAACCACACCCCGGAGGUUCACACUAUCCCCGUCUGAGGGGGCCAGCUGUUCCCGGCAGAGUCCAAAACAAAGUCUGAAGCCUUGUGUGACCUAGGAUGGCUGGCCCCCGCCAAAGCAGCACCAUUGCACAGAGCCUCUGUGCCACUGCCAGAACCGCAACCCGUCGCACACCUUCCACGUGCCCCACUGAGAGUAUAAGGCUUUGGUUUCUGGGUCCAGGGUGGAGACCCCUGGCCACUCCGCUACCAUCCCAUGCUCAGCCAUCCCUUCACCCAGGCCAUCAUGGGAUCACUCUUCUGCUCUCUGACAGCUGCUAGUGUUCGACGGUGGAGAGAUUAUCCCCCGCCCCUGGCUCUGCUCCUCGAGGUGGUGGCAGUCGCGACACUCGGUGACCUCACAGGAACGGUCAGCGUCAUUGAGGUGCCUUCCGGUGUGGUGCUGUACCUCAAAUUUGAAGUCUUGGACAGCCUUCAGCCACCAUGCCAGCUGCCCCUUGGGAUCGCGGAAGCUCAGAUGCUAAGUCAGCGAUACAUGUUCUGUGUGAAGCAGGAACCAUUGGUCGAAGAGACGGGGCGGAAAGUGGCAUUAAGGCCUGAACCAGGCUCGCAGCGGGUGACACAAUAGUCCUGUUCAGGGCGGCUGCAUGGUGAGCUGAUGCAGGGAACUGGUGAUGGUGGCAAAAUCCUUAAUAAACCAGCAGUGCUAUGAUGCCUGUCCGGGAAAGCUGCAAAGUUCAGAGACGUUGCAGGGGGUGAGCCAUUCCCUGACUGCCGCCACCUUCUCAGGCUUCUUCAUCACUCCUUCCGUGCACACCACAUGCCCCAGGAACUUUGAUGGCACAGCAGACAGCAUUUUGUGGGAUUGAGGUGCCAGUUCAUCUAGCAGAUGGCAGCAAAGAUCUCUUCCAGGUUCUGCAGAGCAUCAUCAUAAAUAGCAGUGUACACCGGGAAAUCUUGCAAACAGAUGACAUGGUGACUCCACACAAGGUGAGCCAGCACCCUCUGCAUCAUUCUCUCGAAUGAGGCACAGGCCAAACAGCAUUGCCCAUAAUCAAUGGUGAAGGCAGUCUUGGCCCAGGCCUUCAGGGUCAGUUUGACCUGUCAAUAGUUACCACAGAGAUUGAGAGUGCUGAACCAGGUUGAACCCACAAUACAGUCCAGGGUUUCGUCAGUCUGGGGCAGCGGAUAGGAGCACUUCUGGUACACAGCAUUGAGAAGGUGGUAGUCAACACAGAACCAUCCCAACCUGUCUUUCGUCCUGACCAACACCGCUGGGGAAACCCACAGGCUGUUGGAAGGCUCAAUGAUGCCAGCAGCUGCCAUCUCUUUGAUCCGUGGCUCCACUGUCUGACGUUUGGUGAGAGCCAGGCAAUGGGACCAGACGGAGGGGCCACCUCUUCCCUCUUAUCACUGCACAGUUGCCAGUGACCGGAACCAGCUGGACCACCAUCGCUGGCCACACAGGCGGGGAAGGCUGGUCCGUGUUGGGGAGGACGCUGGACAGAUAAUGCUGAUGGUUGACCACACGUCCACCAAUGCAUGGCAUCCGAUGCUCUCCACCAUGCAGUCCAUGUAUAAGCCUUGCUGUUCAGCCAAAUGGCCCGUCCAGGGAGGAGACAGCAGAUGGAUUCUGCUGGAGGUUUCGGUGAGAAUUGGUUAGUUGGUUUACAAGUCGAUGCAUUGUGUAGUGAGACUGUGAGGAAGGGCAGGCAGAUGAAAGGGCAAUAUUACAGUCAGUGAAAGGACGUAGUCUAACAUGGGGGGAGAAAAUCAAGAAGGGUGAUGAAUACAGGACUAAGGGUGUUAUAUAUGAAUGUAUGCAAUAUACGGGAUAAGGUAGAUGUUGUUGUUAGAGAUGGACAUGUAUGAGGCUGUGGGCAUCAAUGAGUUGUAGCAGAAAGAUCAUAAUUGGGAGUUUACCAUCCAAGGAUACGCAUUGUAUCAAAAGGUCAGGUAGGUAGCCAGAAGGGUGGGGAGGUUCUGUUGGUAAGUAAAGAUUAAAAGGGAGAUGAGAGUGGCCAUAGGACUGCCAGAAAAUCAGGCCAGAGAUAUAACAAAGCGGAAAAGAAGAUGGCAGAUUAACUGAGUAUUUUGCAUCAGGUUUCACUGUGGAAGACACUAACAGUGUCCCAGAUGUUGAAGGCUCUGAGGAAAGAGAAGUGAGUGCAGUUACUAUUACAAGGGAGAAGGUGCUCAAAAAGCUGUAAGACAAGAGUACUUGAGUCACCUGGACCACAUGAAUUGCACCCUAGGGUUCUGAAAGAGGUAGCUGUAGAGACAGUGGAGGCAUUGGUAAUGAUCAUUCAAAAAUGGGAAACUGAUUUGAAUAUUAAAAUUGAUGAAACAAGUUGGUCAAGAUUAUGUCUUGACAGUAUGACAAAUACAAUAAAUGUUUGACUAAGAUUAGUACAAAAUAACUUUUUACAUCAAUUAUCUAUUACACCACAAAAAAUAAAUAGAUUAAACUCAAAUUUAUCUGAUCAAUGUUUUCGAUGUAAUCAAGAAAUUGGUACUUUUUUUACACUCUACUUGGUCUUGUUUUAAAAUUCAACCUUUUUGGACAAAUUUAAGAGCUCUACUGGAACAAAUUAUUGGAAUACAACUUCCACAUAAUCCAACAUUAUUUUUACUAGGCGAUAUUGAAGGGAUAAAAUAGAAAUCCAAAUUGAAUAAAUAUCAGAAAGAAUUCAUAAAAAUUGCAUUGGCAGUAGCCAAAAAGGCCAUUGCAGUUACUUGGAAAUUGGAUUCAUACUUAAGUAUAGAUCGUUGGAAGAAUGAAAUUUUUAGCUGCAUUCCACUUGAAAAAUCAUUGGACUCUGGCAUGUGCCAGAGGCCUGGAAAAUUGUAAAUGUCACUCCGCUCUUGAAGAAAGGAGGAAGGCAGCAGAAAGGAAAUUAUAGACCACUUAGCCUGACCUCAGUGGUUCGGAAGAUGUUGGAGUCAACUGUUAAGGAUGAGAUUAUGGAGCACUUGAUGACACAGGACAAGAUAGAACAAAAUCAGCAUGAUUUCCUUGAGGGAAAAUCUUGCUUGACAAAUCUGUUAGAAUUCUUUGAGGAGAUUACAAGCAGGAUAGAUAAAGGGGAUGCAGUGGAUGUUGUAUAUUUGAACUUUCAGAAGGCCUUUGACAAGGUGCCACACAUGAGGCUGCUUACCAAUUUAAGAGCCCAUGGCAUGACAGGAAAGUUACUGGCAUGGUUAGGGCAUUGGCUGAUUGGUAGGAGGCAGUGAGUGGGUAUAAAAGUAUCCUUUUCUGGUUGGCUGCCAGUGACCAGUGGUGUCCCACAGCGGUCAAUGUUGGGAUCCCUUCUUUUUAUCCUGUAUAUCAAUGAUUUAGAUGAAAUAACAGGAGACUUUGUUGCCAAGUUUGCAGAUGAUAUGAAAAUUAAUGGAGGAGCAGGUAGAGUUGAGGAAACAGGUAGACUGCAAAAGGACUUAGAUUAGGAGAAUGUAUUUCAUUUACCACUUUCUUAUACAAUGUUGGAAAAUGCCUGGCCAUGCACUUUGUUAGUAAGAAUAAAUAAGCUAACUAUUUUCUAGAUGAGGAGAAAAUCCAGGAAUCUGAGAUGCAAAGGGACUUGGGAGUCCUUGUGCAGAACUCCCUGAAUGUUAACUUACAGAUUGAGUCAGUGGUGAGGAAGGCAAAUGCCAUGUUAGCGUUCAUUUCAAGAGGUCUAGAAUACAAGAGCAGGAAUGUGAUGCUGAGGCUUUAUAAGGCAGUGGUGAGGCCUCACCUUGAGUAUUGUGAACAGUUUUGGGCCCCUCAUCUUUGAAAAGCUGUCCUGGCAUUGGAGAGGGUCCAGAGGAGGUUCACAAGGGUGAUUCUGGGAAUGAAUAUAUGAUGAAUAUUUGGAAUUUAGAAGGAUGGGGGGGGGGGGGGGGGGAGAUUCUCAUUAGAACCUUCCAACUGUUGAAAGACCUACACAGAAUAGAUGUGGAAAGGAUGCUUCCUGUGGUGGAGAAGUAUAGCACUAUAGGACAGGGGGGCAUAGCCUCAGGAUAGAUGGGCACCCACUUAAAACAGAUGUGCAGAAAUUUCCAGAGGGUGGUGAAUUUGUGGAAUUUGUUACCACAGGCAGCUGUGGAGGCCAGGUCAUUGGGUGUAUUUAAGGUGGAGAUUGAUUUCUUGAUUGGCCAUGGCAUCCAAGGAAAAGGUCGGGAAAAGGGGCUAAGGAAGGGGAAAAUGAUUGAAUGGAGAGCAGACUCGAUGGGCCAAAUGGCCCAAUUCUGUUCCUAUGUCUUCUAGUAUUUAGAUACAAGAAUGGAUAGAUUGGCUGACUGGGAGGAAGGAGCCUAUUCUGGCUGGCUGCCGGUGACUAGUGAUGUUCCACAUGGUUUAGAAUUGGCAUUGGUUUUUUUCACCUUGUAUAACAAUGAAUUAGAUGAUGGAAUUGAUGGCUUUGUGGCAAAAUUUGCAGAUGAUACAAACAUAAGUGAAGGGGCAGGUAGUGUUAAGGAAAGAAGUCUGUAAAUUGGGAGAAUAAACAAAGUAGCAGCAGAUGGAAUAGGAAGGGGAAGUGCAAGGUCAUGCACUUUGGUAGAAGGGAUAAAGGCACAGACUAUUUUCUAAAAGGGGAGAAAAUUCAAAAUUCAGAGUUGCAAAGGGACUUUGUGAAGAUAUGCUUAACGAUGGGGCAGGCACUUUAUCCAUAUCCACUACUUUUUGUAGGAUUUUCCAUUGAAGUGCUCUGGUGAUUCCAUCUGCAUGCCGUGAUGCAGCCAACCAAUAUACUCUUCACCACACAUGAAUAGAAGUUUGUCAAAGUUUUGGAUGUCAUGCUGAAUCUUUGCAAACUCCUAAGGAAGACAAGGCACUGCCAUGCUGUCUUCAUAAUGGCGCUUACGUGCUGGGCUCGGGACAGGUCCUCUGAAAUUAUAACACCGAGGAAUUUGAAGUUACUGACCCUCUUCACCUCUGAUCACCUGGUGAAGACUGUCUCAUGGUCCCCUGAUUUCCUUCCCCUGAAGUCAAUAAUCAGCUCCUUGGACCUGCUGACACUGAGUAAGAGGAUGUUAUUGUAGCACCACUCAGCCAUAUUUUCCGAUCUCCCUCCUAUAUGCUGAUUCACCGCUUUUGAUUUGGCUAAUGAUGGUGGUGUUGUCUGUGAACUUGGAUAUGGCAUUGGAACUGUGCUUAGCCAUACAGUCACAAGUGUAAAGUGAGUAGGGAAGGGGUUUAAGCACACAGCCUUGUGUUGCACUUGUGCUGAUGGAGAUUGUGAAGGAGACGUUGUUGCCAAUGCAAACUGACUGGUGUCUGCAAAUGAGGAAAUUGAGAAUCCAAUUGCACAAGUAUUGAGGCCAAGGUCUUGGAGCUUAAUGAUUAGUUUUGUAGGGAUGAUGGUAUAUUUCAAUGCACUGUUGUAAUGAAUUGAUCUGUAUGGACGUUAUGCAAGACAAAUUUUUCCACCGUACUUUGGUCCAUGUGACAAUAAUAAACCAAUUUACCAACUUCAGCAUCAGAUUUAUUAUCAAUGUUGUUUGUUGUUUUGCAGCAGUAGGCAAGGAUAAAAAUUACUGAUUUUGUUUCUGAGAACCAUCUUCAAGCCAAUUUCUCUAAGUCAGAAAUCUCUUUCUAUAGUAACCUAUUGUAUCGUUCUGCAUACACUUAUAAUUCUUACAUUUCAUCAAAAUGUCACCCCAAUAUUAUCCAUAAUUAAUAGAAUAUUCAGACAUUAAUAAAUACCAUGAAAUAUGUAUCAUUAUUACUGUUUUGAAGUAUGGGUUAGAAUUGUAUGGGAUAAUUUGCAUGGAGCUGGAUUUCAGUAGCCUGGUCAUCCAUAACACAGGAAACCCCUGUCUGUUCAAGCAGCACCUCACUCGGCAGAAGUUGCACUCAAUGUUUACAUCAGCAGGAAUGGGAAUGAAUGGGACAUACCAAAGAAGGGAACAACAUUUCUAAAAUACACUCUGAGUUUCUCAAAGAAUGCCUUAGCGUCAAAUUACUAUUUGCAUUCCCAAGCCAAUUUCCAAAUGCAGCAAUAUCCAUAAGCUCAGAAUCUGUCUUUACCACCUGAAAGCUCUUGUUAUUUCCUACUAUUUACUGGAAAUGUCCUUAUCCAAUGCAACUGUUGAGAUUUCAACUUCCCCAUUUGCUCAACCACAGCUUCACAAGUGAUUUAAUGGAAAUCUGUUGCCAAGAGUGUUUAACAGUGCCUUGUAGCACCACGGCUGGUCAACCUUGUGACUUUAAACAAACAUUAGGAUGGUAGAUGACAGAACUAGUAAAGCUAUU